CGAUUAUGAUCCGUGAGAUCGAGUUUCUCGAUCGAUUUCGCGACGGUUGACGAGAAUUGCGAACUCAUACCACUAGCGAUGUAGAUAACUCCGCCGCAAGCUCCGGUUGCGCACCACCGUCUCGGCGUUCCUAUCGGCGGCCCGGAGGUCCAUGCAGAAGAGAUCGGAUCGAAAAUUAGAGGGUGAGAGAUCGCCGGAGAGAGUUCUUGGUUACUCCCGGCGAUGAUAACAAGUUUUCCGGAGGCGGAAACGCACUGAAUCGGUAAAUUAAAGGAAAUAUACGACGGAUGACGGUAGAUAAUCCGGUUAAGAGGUAGUUCUGGCGGAGGAGGAGGGAGCGGAUCCCAUUUGGAAGAAACCGGGUCGAAACACAUUAACCGGAUAGCUGAGUUAACCCGACGGAAACCCGGAGCCGGAUCCGAGCUCGAGGCGACGAAAAGCGCGUAGAGAGACGAGAACGGUGGGAACUCGGGAGAGUAUACGAGGCGGCGCCACCGUGUACAAACGGCGGCGAGUAGCGACGGACGGAAUACGAGGGAAAGGCAGAUCUCCGAUAUGUGGUCGGGAAGUCCGUCGAUUAAGACGAUUUGCUUUCCGUCGUCGGUUCUUCUUCGCUUCACCGGCGUUGAUCGUGCGGCAGCGGUAGCCAUUGAUGCAGACCGUUUCAGUAUCGCUUCUCUCUCUGUGUGUUCAUAUUUAAUUUUCUUCAUUUAUUUAUUUGGGAUAUAAUGAGACAAGAGAGGCGUGAACUGUAAUGAAAGAGAGGGAAAAGUUGUGUGCAGACUGCAGAGAGCCAUAUAUCAAAAUCGAAAAGGCCAAAGUUGGAAAAGUGUUAACGUUGUCACAAUAAUAAAUAUAUAAAGCUAACUGGAAAAAUAUUACUAGUACUUACAUUUUUAGCAUCAUAUAUGAUUAGAAACAAGUGGGUAUUUUAUAAUAAAGUUUAACCUAGUUUGACAAUAACUAAACAAUAUGUUAUUCUAUUAUUAUUAAAAUAAGAUAUUCUUUGCUCUAGAAACAAUCAUAUUUUAUUUACAUGCAUGUCCAGUUCUACUAAUAACAGAAUUAGAUUUUAACAAUGAAAAAAAUAAAAUGAAAAACUAAGAGAAAAAAUUGAGACUUUUGAUAGUUUCUAAUGAGAAAACCAAAAACAUCACUCGCGGCAAGAGACUCCGAUGUCUUUCGAAGUAUAUUUUAAUAUUUACAAGAGGCAAAUUACUUACAACAUGAGAUGUGUUUCAUUAAUAUUAUGAGAAGUCUAUUCGAUCUAUUUACUAAAUGUUUCCAUUCCGUUUCAUUACAAACAAAUUUUGUAUUCUUGCACUUACGCAAGGACAUAACAUCUUAAGACGGCUCAGGAUGAUAUAGUCAGGCGUGAAUCUUCAUAAGGCAGGUAGAAUUGCCGGCUGUAGAAUUGUCUUGAAAUAUUUCUCAUAGUUUGUAAUAGCAUAACUAACCAUCGACAAAAAAAAAAAAAUCUUAAUCGGUUUCUUGUGUGAGUGGUGUAUUUUCGACCUUGUAUAUAAAUGUCUCUACUCAGUUGAAAAAUUCUUUAUGUGUAUAUAUCUAACUUCGUAACUCGUAUAUAUUGCUAUUCAAUGUCAUAUUUUUUCUUUGCAACAUUUCUGAUUUUCUUUGUGGUUCUUUAGAAAAAGAGAAAUAACAUAUUUAUAGAAAAUUUCCGUAUUUGACAAGGAGAAAUGUAACAAUAAUUUUACAAUGAAAUGGAUUUUACAAGGACAUAACAAAUAACUUAUAAAUAUAUGUCUUUUUCUAAACAACUAAUCAGACACACAACAAAUAUGUUUUCACCUACCAUCUACUUUUACUCGUAAUUUCGCCAUUAGUUGGAUGGCAAAGUUGAGGUUGUAAUAUACUCAUAAUUUAACAACUACAUUACGAUGAAAGUUACCAUUCAUCGUUAAAAAAUCGUAACAUUACGUUGGGGUUAAAAGCGUAGAGAAUAUAAACUCUUGAAGAGGUAACUUUCUUAUUGAUUAACUCUCUUAAAAAGUUUGCUUUUACAUCACUUGUGUAUUUAUAGGAAAGCAUUCUAGGUUAAAUGAGCUAGGCCACAUCAUCGUUGAGGAUAGCAAAAAUUCGAGCUCGGUACCCGGGGAUCCUCUAGAGUCCAGAAAGCAAUGGAGCCCAUUGCUCAUACUGGUAAUGCUGCUAAAACCCCUAGCAGAGUGACCGAGGCGAGGGGGGGAAGAAAACGCUCCAAAUGAAUGGAAUCUUCUGGAAUUGCAUAUGGUAUAUCAUGAUAGGGUUCAAGAUAUGAUUAGUGAUGCAUUUUUAGAAACAACUACAACAAUAGCUGAUGGAACUGGAAAUGUAGAAGAACCUAAUUUGGAUGCAAAAAGGUUUUAUGAAAUGCUAGAUGCUGCAAAUCAACCAAUCUACACUGGUUGUAGAGAAGGUCUCUCUAAAUUGUCUCUAGAAACUAGGAUGAUGAAUAUUAAAACGGAUCAUAAUUUACCAGAGAAUUGCAUGGAUGCGUGGGCGGAGUUGUUUAAAGAGUAUUUGCCAGAAGACAACGUGUCUGCUGAAUCAUAUUAUGAGAUUCAGAAAUUGGUUUAUAGUCUUGGGUUGCCUUCGGAGAUGAUUGAUGUUUGCAUCGACAACUGCAUGAUCUACUGGAAAGAAGAUGACAAGUUAGAAGAGUGUCGAUUCUACAAAAAAACACGAUUCAAACCGCAAGGCCGUGGGAGGAAUAGGGUACCGUACCAAAUGAUAUGGUACCUACCAAUUACAGACAGAUUGAAAAGAUUAUAUCAAUUUGAGAGGACUACUGCAUCGAUGAGGUGGCAUGCAGAACAUGUCCAGAGAGAUGGUGAGGUUGCACAUCCAUCAGACGCAAGAGCGUGGAAACAUUUCAACAAGGUACACGCAUAUUUUGCUACAAAUAUCCGGAAUGUCUAUCUUGGGUUAUGCACCGAUGGAUUUAGUCCAUUUGGAAUGUCUGGUAGACAAUAUUCUUUGUGGCCAGUCAUUCUUAUGCCGUACAAUUUACCGCCGGAUAUGUGCAUGGAACAAGAAUUUCUAUUUUUGACCAUAUUAAUCCCUGGGCCGAAGCAUCCAAAACGGUCUCUUGAUGUUUUUCUUCAACCGUUGAUAGAAGAGCUAAAGCAAUUGUGGUCAGAAGGGGUGACGACGUACGAUUGUUCCUUGAAAAACAAUUUUACGAUGCGAGCAGUUCUGCUGUGGACGAUAAGUGAUUUCCCUGCUUAUGGGAUGUUGUCUUGCUGGACAACACAUGGAAGAUUAUCUUGUCCAUAUUGUUUUGGAUCGACGGAUGCUUUUCAACUGAAGAAUGGUAGGAAGAGUUGUUGGUUUGAUUGUCAUCGUCGCUUUCUUCCACUUGCCCAUCCGUACAGAAGAAAUAAGACAUUAUUUUGGCACAAAAAAAUUGUCAGAGGCAGUCCUCCUCCAUAUCUCACCGGCCAGCAGAUCGAAGCAGACAUUGAUUAUUACGGAGCUCAGGAAACAGUUAAGGUUGGAGGAAAUUGGCAUGUUCCUGGAAAUAUGACUGAUGGGUAUGGUGUCUUUCACAAUUGGCAUAAGAAGAGUAUAUUUUGGGAGCUACCCUAUUGGAAGGAUCUUCUCUUACGCCACAAUCUGGAUGUCAUGCAUAUUGAGAAGAACUUCUUUGAAAACAUCAUGAAUACAUUACUUAACGUCCCUGGGAAGACAAAAGAUAACAAAAAGUCAUGGAUGGACUUACCUGAUAUUUGCUCAAGAAGUGAGUUACAUAUCAAGAGCAAUGGAAACGUUCAUGUUCCCAUCUUCCGGUUGUCAUCAGAAGCCAAAACAACCUUGUUUGACUGGGUUGCAUCAGAAGUAAAGUUUCCUGAUGGUUAUGUUUCAAAUCUGUCAAGAUGUAUUGAACGAGGUCAAAAGUUCUCCGGAAUGAAGAGUCAUGAUUGUCAUGUGUUUAUGCACCAACUCCUUCCAUUUGCUUUUGCCGAGCUCCUUCCAGCAAAUGUCCAUGAAGCACUUGCAGGUAAUUAUAAUUUUAUAAUAUAUAUACAUAUGUUAUGAAAUGUUAUUAAUUUGAUUACUUUUGCAAUAUACAGCCAUCAGAGCAUUUUUCAGAGAUCUUAGCACACGUACGUUCAAGGAAGAAGUCAUCGAACAACUUCAUCAGAACAUUCCGAUCAUAUUGUGCAACCUGGAGAAGAUAUUUCCUCCUUCAUUUUUUGACGUCAUGGAGCAUCUAGUUGUCCACCUACCGUAUGAAGCAUUGCUUCGUGGACCUGUUCACAACGGAUGGAUGUAUCCGUAUGAGCGACAGAUGAAACAUUUGAAGGGGAAAGCAAGAAAUCUUGCAAAGGUGGAAGAUUCAAUAGUUGCAGGGAGUUUGACAGCCGAAACAUCUAACUUCACAUCAUACUACUUUGCUCCAACUGUUCGUACGAGAAAAAGAGUUCCUAGAAGAUAUGAGAUGGUGGAGUACCGACAUCAUAUCCAAUUGAUGGUGUUCCUGACAUUUUCUGCGAAAUUGGACGGUUUGGUGGUAAAACGAAAGAAGUAUGGUGGUCAUGUGAAGAGGAUAAACAUAGUGCCCACACUUACAUUCUGCUCAACUGCGAGGAUGCAGUGACCCGUUACUUUGAAAGGUAAAUAUUUUUGUGAAUGUUAAUUAUAUGAAUUGAAGUUAAUUAUGUAUGACUUGAUUAUUUGUUUAAUUUGCAGCAUGUUUGUAUCUCAAGUUGAAGAAACAAUACCAGGAAUAUCUGCAACUGUUGUGGACACACGUAAAGAUAAGCACACGUAAAGAUAAGCACUUUGUCAAGUGGUUAAAAUCACAGGUACGUAAUAUAUCUCAUAUAUUGAUUAAUUAAGUAAGUGUUUUGAUACUUCAAUAUUAAUUAAGAAUAUAUGCUUUUUGCAGGUUGAUUAUGACGAUCCUUAUUAUCCCGUAUGGUUUCACGAAUUGGUUCAAGGUCCAGUUGCAAAGGUCACCACAUCACCUAUGUAUUUCACACGAGGAUUUACCUUUCACACAUACGAGUAUGGGAGACAUCGGGCAACGAGUAAGUACGGAAUAUGUGUGAAAGGUGAAACAGACUUUUACGGGAUCUUGCAAGAGAUUAUUGAAGUGGAAUUUCCGAGGUUAUUGAAGCUAAAAUGCGUCCUCUUCAAAUGUGAAUGGUUCGAUCCUGUUGUGAACCGAGGAAUUCGGUAUAACCAAUUUGGUGUUGUGGAUGUCAAUUUUGGGAGAAGAUACAACAAAUUUGAGCCUUUCAUUUUAGCUUCACAAGCCGAGCAAGUUAGCUUCCUUCCUUAUCCUCGGCUUCGAACUUCCGGGAUAAACUGGUUAGCUGCUAUCAAAAUUACACCUCGUGGACGCAUUGUCGCUGGAGAAGAACCGCCCUUGCAAGAAGAAGACGCUAUCAAUGAAGUUGAGGUACCAAAACAACUAACUGAUGAAAUCCUUUUGAUCGAUCCGCAAAACUUUCAAUGUGAAGAUAUUCUCGAAGAUGCUACAGAUGAAGCACGUGAAGACGAGUUCGAGAGAAGCGACGAUGAUGAUUGUAAUGAUAGUGAUGAGAAUGAAAACGAUUUAGAGUGAUGUAAUAUUGAUGAGAACGAAAACGAUUUAGAGUGAUGUAAUAUUGAUGAGAACGAAAACGAUUUAGAGUGAUGUAAUAUUGAUGAGAACGAAAACGAUUUAGAGUGAUGUAAUAUUGAUGAGAACGAAAACGAUUUAGAGUGAUGUAAUAUUGAUGAGAACGAAAACGAUUUAGAGUGAUGUAAUAUAUGUAACAAAUGUUGUAUUUAAUAUUGUUUUUUUACCAUCUUAAUGUAUGUGUAACAAAUGUUGUUUUAUAUAAUAUGUAUUUCUUUAGUUUUUAAAAAUUUAUUUGGAGUUUUUGGGUUUUAGAGUUUAAGUUGAAUAAAGAGCAAGAAGUAGUAGAGAAGAAGAUAUGAUGUUAGGUGAUACGUGACUUUGGGGUUUAGGGAUUUCAUUCUCGGUGUUUAGGGUUAAGCGUUGUAAAAUCGUUGUAAAAAUAACACGGACAUGGUAACUUGGUCGUAAAUGGUUAAAUCGAUUCUACUUAAUCUGAUGCUCGUUUACUUUUUAAACUCAAAAAAGCAAUUGAUAGUGAAUGAAAUAAAACUAACGUCGCCAUUUAUAAGAUUACUUUCGUUAGUACAUUUAAUUUCUCUAACAAAUUAUUUUAAAUAACUAUUUUUAUUGUACUUUAUAGAUGUGAAAUUUCUGAAGUAAGCAUCUGACUUGAAGGUAAAAUAACGACAAGAGCACACUUUUUCUCGCAGAAUAAGAGAAAUAAUCAAAAAAAAAAAAAAGAGUUCCGUAUAGAAGAAAAAGAACAAAAUUAUAGUAUAUUUCAAACAUUAUACGUCAGCUAAAAUCCGGUCGGCUCAUCCUUGGUAAUACAUGAACCGAAACCGGUUCAAGCCCUUGAGGUUUUUCCACGGUCCAAAUCUUCGCCGGCUCCGUCAUAACAUCCACCAUUACAAUUCUUCCGUCAACGGUAAUAAUAGAAAGCUUUCCGGCUACCGCCGUUAUUUGCUGAGCUCCUUUAAGCAACUCUUCACCACCUUCCACCACCGCUACUUCUCUCCACUCUCUGUUAUCGGCAUCGUAUAUCCUCACUGUUCCUUUCUUCUCAUCAACUGAAUAAAGCGUCUCCUCCUCCAUCGCCGCCACCGGACCUCUCCAUCCCGCCACCAUUUCCUCCGGCAUCGCUUCCCAAUCGUCAUUAACGACGUCGUAUAUAGCUCCUUCUUUAACUGCGUCGCCUUUUACAUUCACCAUUAAGAGCUUCCUUCUCCAUCCAACUGCGUCAAUGGCUUCACGGCUAAACCGUAAGUCUCUCAUCUCCCUCAGUUUCUCCCAGUUACUGCGAUUAUGAUCCGUGAGAUCGAGUUUCUCGAUCGAUUUCGCGACGGUUGACGAGAAUUGCGAACUCAUACCACUAGCGAUGUAGAUAACUCCGCCGCAAGCUCCGGUUGCGCACCACCGUCUCGGCGUUCCUAUCGGCGGCCCGGAGGUCCAUGCAGAAGAGAUCGGAUCGAAAAUUAGAGGGUGAGAGAUCGCCGGAGAGAGUUCUUGGUUACUCCCGGCGAUGAUAACAAGUUUUCCGGAGGCGGAAACGCACUGAAUCGGUAAAUUAAAGGAAAUAUACGACGGAUGACGG
rnacentral:lncRNA from 1 species